CCUGCAAGAACUGCAUGGCAAGUUCCUCACCCUCCGCUCCAUGAGGUGUUGCAGCAUUACCAUGGAAGGUUGGGUGUAGUUGCUCUGACAGAAACUUGUCAGGUGUUGUGGUGGGGUGAAUUGGCACCUUUUUAACUGUGCUUGCUGUAAUGUGUACCGUCCGCAUAUCACACCAGAGCUGUUCUUGGCUCUGUGCUUUGGUACGCUGCUCAGUCUCCGUCAGCUGGGUUGUAGGCAUGUGGAUGUAUUCAUUGUAAAAUGUUCUGCAUUUUAAACAAGCCAGUGGUGUGUGAUGCUCAUCAUGGGGUAGGAGCAAUGGAGAUGGUGUUUUUUCCACAGAUUGAGCAGAGGGAUCAGCAUUGAAGCAGAACUGCAGGAGGCCAUUGCCCGGGAAGGUAAAAAAUGCUCCCAUAGAAUCCGGUGGAGACGCAGGACCUUCCUGCUUUGGAGAGGGAUCCCCCCAGCGCUCUCCCGGACGCGUUACUCCUAAUUUUGGUUGCUUUACUUUAAUUUAAUUCUGACAAGAGACUUUAGUGGUUGAGUUUGGUUUUGGGUUUUUGUAUAUAGUUUUUGUUAAAUAAAAGGCCCUGUUGGGCUAUUUUUCCCCAAA